CGUAGGGCGCGAGCGUUGUCCGGAAUUAUUGGGCGUAAAGGGCUUGUAGGCGGUUGGUCGCGUCUGCCGUGAAAUUCUCUGGCUUAACUGGGGGCGGUGCGGUGGGUACGGGGCUGACUUGAGUGCGGUAGGGGGAGGACUGGAACUCCUGGUGUAGCGGUGGAAUGCGCAGAUAUCAGGAAGAACACCGGUGGCGAAGGCGGUCUCUGGGCCGUUACUGACGCUGAGGAGCGAAAGCGUGGGGGAGCGAACAGGAUU
rnacentral:rRNA from 1 species